UUUCAUUAGGUCAAAUAUACUCAUUUGCCGGCGGAAUUCACAUUAUACGUGAUUAGGCGUAUAGCGGGGACAUGGAAACGAAAUUGGAUGUUGACUUGGACUUCAGAAAAUUAGGAAGAGUAAAAUGGUAGUCGUACAGAAGACAAAACUUGUAAAUCACUUGUCAAUUUAGACCAACUGGCCCGCCCCCACAUAAGUGCUUAAAGUCGAACUCAAGCUUCUGCGGGAAAAUAAUUUGCAUUCUGUUUACUGGGAGUGUUUAUGCGACACUCGCGUGCGAAAUCUUUCUUUUGCUCUAUCUUCAGGGGUUCCCCUCUUUCCUGGGUAUAAAAUAUACAUAUAUUUUAUGCCGCUAACAAUCUCAUUAAACUUGGAUGCGUAUAAGUCUGAAAGCAAGAGUCUUGCAUUCCUUCAGAAACUCCCACUUCUAGCACUCCAUUGAAGAUGACAAUAGGACUAAAUGAGAUGGAAGAAGGGAAAGACGUCUAAAUUGCUACAAUUACGGUUAAAAAGUGUGCCGAUGACGACAAGGGUGAUGGUGAUGAUCAGGAAGCUAUAGUAGCGGAAAAAGUCCAGGCUAACAGUCCAAUACUGGGAUACAUCUAUAAUAACCUUUGACAAAGUGCCUUAAUUUAUUGCUUUAGGCAUAGGUUGGGCUUCUAUCUGCCAAGAUAUUCCACCACCCGAAAGGUGUUGGCCUCUGUAAUAGAUAUUGAUGAUACAAAGAUAUACAAAAUACUACGAAAAUAUCUGAAGUUUAUUUGGAAUUUUCCAUAACAAAUCAUUGCCUUAUAUAUGUAUAGCCAAAUUGCUAAAGAAAUUUUUAAUGAUCCCUAACACUGCCAAAUAACUUGGAAUUAAUAAUUCGGAAAUCAUUUUAAUGUGCACUAAGCAGAAGCACGAAAUUUCUUAAGACUGGGUGAAAGGUGAAAAUAACACAUGUCUGAGCCACUUCAUAUUUAUUUAUUGCCAAUGGCUAUACGCACUCUGAACAAGAGUGACGGACAAAUUGUGACGGACUUCCGUGUAUAUUAACGAAUUUUGAACAGAUCCGUUAUUCGGUUGCCUGGUUGGCAUUGGGUUUUAAAUAUUGGUAAUGCUGUCACAAAUCCGCCGCAUGGACCGCUUCCAACUGCCCGCCCGCUGCCAAUGAUUUUGGCAAACAGAGAAUGCCACAGCAGCCCUCUAGUCAUUUUCCCUUGUACCCCUGUCAGCCGGCGUCGAGAGAAGGAAAUUGAAUUGCAGUCAUGAUGUUGACAUAGCGUGCAAUAAAAUAACACAAGACGCAGGGCAAAACACUCAGCUACGGGCUUAUGGCAAUAUAAUUCCCCAGAGUAACCAGUAACCCGUGUCCUGGGGACCCGAAUACGAAUUCGGACUCGGGUCCACGUCUAAGUCUAUGCGUAC